GCGUUCCGGAGCUUACCAUGCAGUCGUACGGAAAGCAAUUUUUAGUGGCGAACGGGUGAGUAACGCGUGAGAAUUUGCCUUUAGGAAGAGGAUAACAUUUAGAAACAUUUGCUAAGACUCUAUAUGCCAUUUUUGGUGAAAAACGAAAGUUGCCUAAAGAGAAGCUCGCGUCUGAUUAGCUAGUUGGUGGGGUAAAGGCCUACCAAGGCGACGAUCAGUAGCUGGUCUGAGAGGACGACCAGCCACACUGGAACUGAGACACGGUCCAGACUCCUACGGGAGGCAGCAGUGAGGAAUUUUCUGCAAUGGGCGCAAGCCUGACAGAGCAAUACCGCGUGAGGGAUGAAGGCCUAUGGGUUGUGAACCUCUUUCCUCAAGGAGGAAGAUCUGACGUUACUUGAGGAAUAAGCAUCGGCUAACCCUGUGCCAGCAGCCGCGGUAAUACAGGGGAUGCAAGUGUUAUCCGGAAUUAUUGGGCGUAAAGCGUCUGCAGGUGGAUAUCUAAGUCUUUUGUUAAAUCUCUGGGCUUAACCCGGAAUCGGCAAAAGAAACUAUAUAUCUUGAGUAUGGUAGAGGUAAAGGGAAUUUCAAGUGGAGCGGUGAAAUGCGUAGAUAUUUGAAAGAACACCAACAGCGAAGGCACUUUACUGGGCCAGUACCGACACUCAGAGACGAAAGCUAGGGGAGCAAACAGGAUUAGAUACCCUGGUAGUCCUAGCUGUAAACGAUGGAUACUAGAUGUUGCUUGCUUUUUAAGCACGCAGUGUCGUAGCUAACGCGUUAAGUAUCCCGCCUGGGAAGUAUGCUCGCAAGAGUGAAACUCAAAGGAAUUGACGG
rnacentral:rRNA from 1 species